UACGUAGGGGGCAAGCGUUGUCCGGAAUUAUUGGGCGUAAAGAGCGUGUAGGCGGUCCGGUAAGUCAGCUGUGAAAGUCAAGGGCUCAACCCUUGAAUGCCGGUUGAUACUGUCGUGCUAGAGUGCGGAAGGGGCUACUGGAAUUCUCGGUGUAGCGGUGAAAUGCGUAGAUAUCGAGAGGAACACCUGCGGCGAAGGCGGGUAGCUGGGCCGACACUGACGCUGAUGCGCGAAAGCUAGGGGAGCAAACAGG
rnacentral:rRNA from 1 species